rnacentral:RNase_P_RNA from 1 species
CAGGUCGGCCAGGCGGUCGCGCCUCGCGACUCCGGAUCCUUCAAGAAUGGGGCGCGGGGUGAGGAAAGUCCGGGCUCCACAGGGCACGGUGCUGGGUAACACCCAGGCGGGGUAACCCGACGGAAAAGGGCCACAGAAAAGCAGACAGCCGGGGCAGCCCAGGCCGCCCCGGUGAUGGUGAAAAGGUGGUGUAAGAGACCACCGGCGCUCGUGGUGACACGGGCGGCCAGGCAACCCCCACCGGGAGCAAGGCCAAGCAGGGGCGAGACCGUUCCCAUCGGGUCUGAGACCCGACGGGGAACAGGCGCGGGGCGGCCCGUCCCGUCCGAGCCCCGGGUAGGCCGCUAGAGGCGGCGGGCAACCGCCGUCCCAGAUAGAUGACCGCCCACGACAGAACCCGGCUUAUCGGCCGGCCUGGGCG